CCUAAAAAACCCACCGACUAACCAUUUCUCCCAAAAAAAAAAAAAAACCCAAUCUCUCGACUUCUCCACAAAAUACCUUUAUCUCUCCAUCGUCUUCUCCUCAAUCGACUGUUCCUCUCUUGCUCUCGGUCUCGAUUUUCCUCUCUCUCUCUCUCUCUCGUUGAAGAUGCUCGGUUUGCCGUCCACGCCGACAUCGACGCUGAGAGAGGUGAGUUUGGGGAUUAUCAGAUCUCUGAGUUCAAGGAGGCAUUUGGCAUGUUUGAGAAGGACGGAGACAGUCAGAUCCAUCCCUUCGAUCUUCACUUUUCCCCCCUUUUCUGCUGAAAAUCUGUUGAUUUUAUGAUUUUUUUAUAGUAUUUUUAUGGUUGAGGAUUUUUUUAUGGAAAUCUGUUGAUCAUUUGGUUGUGUAGAAAGGGGAAGCUGAAUGAAGCAUAAAUGGUGUUUGACGAAAUGCUCAAGAGAGGGAUUAGUGCUGCUAAUACAACAUUAGCUGCUUUGGUUUAUGGAGGGGAUAAGAUAGCUUGAUGUGAGUGUUUACCAUGGGCUGAUCAAGGGUUUCUUGAAGCUUAGGAAGGCAAAGGAAGACACUCAAGUGUUUAGAAUAGCACUUGUUUAGCCUAUGUUACUCUAUCUAUGUCGUGUCUCAUAGGUUGAGACUCAACAAUACGGGGCUGAAGAGCUACAAAGCAUUAAACAAAUACAGAAUAUUUUGGACCAGAGUUUGCAUCUAAUUGCUGACAAUUAUCAAGAGUUGGAAGUGUUCAAUUUGAUGAGGUAUGCAUACUCAAUGAAAUGUUCUAAUUUCAUCUCAUGUAUGAAUUUCAGCCUAUCCCAAAUAACUGGGAUAGGCCUUAAUGGCAAUGUUAAGAAUUCUGAAUUUCUUAUUGUAAACCAGUGUGGACUACUCUUGUUCAAUGCAUAUGCAUCUUGAUCAUCAUGUGUACCAAAUGCAAUAAUAUUUUUCCUCCAUUCUUGCCAUGAAAUUCUGUCAUGAUCUUUUCUCAUUUCAUCUGAAUCACAAGUGGAGACAUCCAGUAAAUUUUCUCAAAAGUUACGUGCAUGGCUUUGGCAUGGUGUCAUUUGGAUCACAAGAGGAGGCACCCCAUGAAUGCAUGGCUUUGGUAGUCAUGAGCCUGGUUUGUCUAAUAUCACAAGUGGAGGCCAUCCUUUUAGUGGAAGACCACUAACACCCUGGUUCAAUCCUGAAUAGAAGAUGAAAAAAAAAUUUUAAGUUUAGAAACUGUGGAGAACAAAUCCUAUAAUGUAAAACAAAUCUACUAAAAUGAAACAACAUGUGAUAACAUUCCUUACAUCAAAUGCAUUAAACAGUAUUUAAAGAAGGGAAAUGAAAAAAAAAAAAAAAAACAGAAAAGAAAAGAAACCAACACAUGCCUGCAUUCUUUUGUGCUCUUUGGAAAGCAUUCUUUAAAGGGUGGAGGUGGCAAGAAUUUAGGGCCUGCAGUAUUAACUAUUGGCUUCCUCUGUUUUGUCUUUUUCAAUUCAGCGGUGGAAGCAACUAUUGUUUGCAAUUGAGCAAAACAGUUCACUUUUAGUGGUACAAACAUUACCGACUUUUAGUGCUUUUUUAUUUUAUUUUCUUUUUUCUUGCGGGGGUGUUUGAAGGUUUGAAAACCAAAUAAAUUGGGCAUAAUUCCUGACCCCGGGUGUAAUUUUUCUACUGUUUGUUCAGCAUAAUUGGUCCACCAUAUGGAUUAUCCAGAUGCACCAAUUGCUCUCUUUGACCACACUACAGGGUUUCAUCAUUGUCGUGCUUUUCUGUAGAGUUACUCUUACUUUUAUUGUAUUUUCUAAAUAUCAAAUUUUUUAAUGAGAAAUACAUCAAUGUCCCUUAUUCUCUUUAUAGGACAUCAUCAUAUGUUCUAAAUUGGAUAUGGGCUGCUUGCAGUUCUAUUUGUCAUUGAAUUGUUUUUACUCCAGGAGCGGGCUGUGCAUUUCUUGUUUGAGCUGCUGGCUGCUGAAAAUCUUGUGGUUGCUGGAACAAUGGUGCAGUGUCUGCUUCUUAUCCGCUUGCCUGCUCCUUGCACUGGAGGGGCGCAUGGGGAAGAAUUUCCAAGCCACUGAAGUUGCUGCAGAUCUUUAGUCGCGGUUCUGGCUCUUGUGCAGCGGUUGCCACUGUUCUGAGUGGCCAAGUGAGUUUAGCUAUCUGUCCUCUGUUCAGUUAUAGGCCUUUGACAGGUUUUGGCUUUUCAGUGUUGUAUAUGUUUACAUUUAGCUAGGUGUGGCAUGGCCCCUUUUUUUGUACUGCCUGUCCUCUAGAGACUCACAUGACAUGUUGAAUCUACUGGUUUUCAAAUAAUCACGAGAUCAGAGCUACUUUUAGUCUAGUCCUCAGUUACUUUGUGCAGCUGCAACUGGCUUCUUUCGUGAACCAAACACAGU